UACGUAAGGUGCAAGCGUUGUCCGGAAUUAUUGGGCGUAAAGAGCUCGUAGGCGGUCUGUCGCGUCGGCUGUGAAAUCUCGGGGCUCAACCCCGAGCCUGCAGUCGAUACGGGCAGACUUGAGUGCUGUAGGGGAGACUGGAAUUCCUGGUGUAGCGGUGAAAUGCGCAGAUAUCAGGAGGAACACCGGUGGCGAAGGCGGGUCUCUGGGCAGUAACUGACGCUGAGGAGCGAAAGCGUGGGGAGCAAACAGG
rnacentral:rRNA from 1 species